GGCGGCACGGCGAAUGGCGGGCACUGUGCCUACGAGCAUGCCACAGGCAGAGACGUCGGUUGCGUGCAGAGGACAGCAGAGCAGGAGCAGAAGGAAGGAGGAGGAGGGGUUAGCCGUUGGCGCCUAAGGGAGGAGCUAUCUAGGCCGUCCGCGUGUCCGCUGCCGGGGCUCGACGCUGUCUUCCGCGGUACCCCGAGACCCUGAGCGAGGAGUUGACCGAGGCUUCGGACAAGAAAUUCGUCCUCUACCUCGAGAGGGACCAACCGGAUGUCUUACGACCCUUCUGUAGAGAUCAGUUAAGUUAACGAUGGCCACCGAUGUCGCUCCUGUACUAAGGUUGACAUCCGAAAUUAUACGCCUUUCAGUGGUUCCCUUUACAGUGUUAAUUUGAAACCCUAGAACCUCCCGUUGCAUCUAAGGCCUGAUACACCCUCGCGAUGACAGCACCUCAAUGACGAUAAAAUAUGCAACAGCUACGACGACUGGCCCUAUCGCAAGGCUAACGGUUUUCACUUAACGUACUGGACGACUGUUUUGUCAGAAAUAGACCCUAGGGGAAUGAAUAGGAACCGUUGUUUUAACUGUUCAGUCUCCGUGAAAGAUUCGGCCGUAAUCAACUAGUUGAUCCGGACCUUAGAUAUUUCCUGGCGCUUCAAACGACGAUGUACUAGAGAACGUUCCUGAGCCACUUGUAUCUACAACAGUAACUAACCGAGUAGUUCGUAAGGUUCUGACGUUUAAUCCCAGCGACACACAAAAACGGGGAAGUGAACACGGCUCUACUUAAAUCAAACGUGUAGAAGCAAGAGUACUAGACCUUCCCCUUCUAGUACGCACAGUAAGAAUAAAGAAACCGGAUCAAGAAACGGCAACUCAAGAGGAAUCAUUCGGAAAGGGAUAAAAUCACAAAUAAACUGGAUGAAACACGAAUUAAAAAGGGUCAUCUUAUACUUAUUCGUGUUGUGUCGUAUCAAGUCGUUGUCGUUUCAUUCGUGUUGUGUUGUAUCAAAUCGUUGGCCUUUGUAGUUUUAGGACAGCACAACAAAAGAGGCAGAUUUUAGCUAUCUGGAAAUAACGACUUCGGGGGGACGUU
rnacentral:rRNA from 1 species